rnacentral:misc_RNA from 1 species
UGAAAGAAUAAAUAUUUAUUGAUUAAAAACAUAUUUUAAGUAUAAAAAAAUAAUUACAAUUCGUUCUUUAUUUACAGUGGCUACAAAGUAUUCAUACAUACUCUUAUACCCCAAUGAAAUGUUGUUUUAUGAGGUUUAACAUUUCAUUUUAAAUUUCUGUAGCUAAUACUAAAUGAAGCUAUGAAUGAAACUAUUAUCAUGAAAGUACUACUAGAUGAUACUAAAUCUAAUUAAUUAGUAUAUAGAUACUAUAAUAAAUACAAUGAUUCACUCUUGUUUACUCUUCAACUGCUAUACGGCAAAGACUUGUUUUAUUUUUACGGUUAUUGACAAUUAUAAUCUAUAACUUAGUUAAAUUGAAUAACACUCAGAUCCAAGCUCCUCCUCCUGUUUCUUAAAUGGGCUGUAACA